rnacentral:rRNA from 1 species
UACGUAGGCAGCGAGCGUUGUUCGGAGUUACUGGGCGUAAAGGGUGCGUAGGCGGUUGUUUAAGUUUGGUGUGAAAUCUCCCGGCUCAACUGGGAGGGUGCGCCGAAUACUGAAUGACUAGAGUGCGGGAGAGGAUAGUGGAAUUCCUGGUGUAGCGGUGAAAUGCGUAGAUAUCGGGAGGAACACCUAUGGCGAAAGCAGGCUUCUGGGCUAUCACUGACGCUGAUCUGCGAAAGCUAGGGGAGCAAACAGG